rnacentral:rRNA from 1 species
GAAUCUUCCACAAUGGACGAAAGUCUGAUGGAGCAAUGCCGCGUGAGUGAAGAAGGUUUUCGGAUCGUAAAACUCUGUUGUGAGGGAAGAACACAUACGCGGGUAACUGCUCGUACCUUGACGGUAACUCAUUAGAAAGCCACGGCUAACCACGUGCCAGCCGCCGCGGUAAUACGUAGGUGGCAAGGGUUGUCCGGAAUUAGUGGACGUAUAGCGCGCGCAGGCGGUCCUUUAAGUCUGAUGUGAAAUCCCACGGCUCAACCGUGGAAGGUCAUUGGAAACUGGGGGACUUGAGUACAGAAGAGGAAAGUGGAAUUCCAAGUGUAGCGGUGAAAUGCGUAGAGAUUUGGAGGAACACCAGUGGCGAAGGCGACUUUCUGGUCUGUAACUGACGCUGAGGCGCGAAAGCGUGGGGAGCAAACA